UACGUAGGGUGCAAGCGUUAAUCGGAAUUACUGGGCGUAAAGCGUGCGCAGGCGGUUUUGUAAGUCUGUCGUGAAAGCCCCGGCUCAACCUGGGAAUGGCGAUGGAGACUGCAAGGCUAGAGUGUGUCAGAGGGGGGUAGAAUUCCACGUGUAGCAGUGAAAUGCGUAGAGAUGUGGAGGAACACCGAUGGCGAAGGCAGCCCCCUGGGAUAACACUGACGCUCAUGCACGAAAGCGUGGGGAGCAAACAGG
rnacentral:rRNA from 1 species